GAGUUUGAUCCUGGCUCAGGACGAACGCUGGCGGCGUGCUUAACACAUGCAAGUCGAACGGUGACGACGGAGCUUGCUCUGUCUGAUCAGUGGCGAACGGGUGAGUAACACGUGAGUAACCUGCCCCCGACUCUGGAAUAACCGUGGGAAACGACGGCUAAUACCGGAUAUGAGACGCACAGGCAUCUGUGUGUCUGGAAAGAUUUAUCGGUCAGGGAUGGACUCGCGGCCUAUCAGCUUGUUGGUGGGUAAUGGCCCACCAAGGCGACGACGGGUAGCCGGCCUGAGAGGGCGACCGGCCACACUGGGACUGAGAUACGGCCCAGACUCCUACGGGAGGCAGCAGUGGGGAAUAUUGGACAAUGGGCGCAAGCCUGAUCCAGCCAUGCCGCGUGUGUGAAGAAGGCCUCGGUUGUAAG
rnacentral:rRNA from 1 species